GUAAUCUAUAAUAUGAUACUGUUAGAAUAGAGAUAUAUAAUCCAUUUUUAUCGAUCUUUAUCUAUUCUUCGCGAAAAGUUUGCAUAUAAGUGAGCAAUAAUGCAACACAAUCUCACUGUUCUAAAUGAAUCGAUAUCUGUUCCCGCAGAUUUCCCAUUUAUUCUGUACUUAAUUGCAACUCGAAUCCUCCAUGUACAACAAUAUACAGUGCUUCACUUAAUUGAUCAAUUAAUUACGCCCAUUAGUUUCAUGUACACACAUCCUUGCGAUUAUUAUUAUCGGCGAUAUAAUUAUUUUAAAUGCCAAAUAAAUGGCGGAUACGAUCAAUCUCGUAUCUUUCCUCCUCGUUUCCAAAAAUCCACAUGUCUUCGAAAAUUCACGAAAAAGGGAUCACGAAUCAUUCCACACGUUGAACACGAUCGUUCUCACCGGAUAUUACCAACAACGCGUCGACGUUUAUCUGUUUCCAAGCUACGAUUCUCUCUGAACCGAAAAAAGGAAAGAGAGAGAAAAAAAAAUCGAGAGAGAGAGAAAAAAACAAAACAAAAAUACGAGAGAUGGAUAAUAAAAAUCCCGCUAUCUGGAGAGAACGAUGCACUCGAGCACGAAUGCUGCUCAUCUCUCCACCACCGAUCCCGAUUUUGCCGAAAUUUACGAUAUGGCCGUGGGCAUCGCGCAUAAAACCAACUUUAAAACGGUUCGAUCGGCAAAGUAC